rnacentral:tRNA from 1 species
GGUUGUGGCUCAGUGGUAGAGCACUUGCCUAGCAUGUGUGGGACACUGGGUUCGAUUCUCAGCACCA